rnacentral:rRNA from 1 species
UUUGAUCCUGGCUCAGGAUAAACGCUGGCGGCGUGCUUAACACAUGCAAGUCGAGCGAGAAAGGGAUUCGUCCUGAGUAAAGCGGCAAACGGGUGAGUAACGCGUGGGAAUCUACCUUUCGAUGGAGAAUACCCUCAAGAAAUUGAGUUUAAUACUGCAUACGUCCUAACGGAGAAAGAUGGCUUUAUUGCUGUCGUCGGAAGAUGAGCCUGCGUACUAUUAGCUAGUUGGUGGGGUAAUGGCCUACCAAGGCAAAGAUGGUUAGCCGGCCUGAGAGGGUGUACGGCCACACUGGAACUUAGACACGGUCCAGACUCCUACGGGAGGCAGCAGUGAGGAAUAUUGCGCAAUGGGCGAAAGCCUGACGCAGCGACGCCGCGUGGAGGAUGAAGGUCUUAGGAUUGUAAACUUCUGUUAAGUGGGAAGAAAUGCCCGUGAGUAAUAUGCACGGGAGAUGACUGUACCAUUAGAGAAAGCACCGGCUAACUUCGUGCCAGCAGCCGCGGUAAUACGAAUGGUGCAAGCGUUAUUCGGAUUUAUUGGGCGUAAAGGGUGCGUAGGCGGCAUAUUAAGUCAAUUGUUAAAUUCUUCGGCCUAACCGAACGUCAGCGGUAGAUACUGAUAUGCUAGAGAUGCAAGAAGAGUAGUGGCAUUCUUGAGUAGCGGUAAAUGCGUAGAUCUCAGAGACACGAUGCGAGCAGCUUCUUGUCAAUCUGACGCUAAGCCGAAGCGUGGGGAGCAACAGGAAUAAAUACCUG